rnacentral:rRNA from 2 species
UGGGGAAUAUUGGACAAUGGGGGGAACCCUGAUCCAGCCAUGCCGCGUGUGUGAAGAAGGCCCUCGGGUUGUAAAGCACUUUCAGUGAGGAAGAACGCCUGGUGGUUAAUACCCAUCAGGAAAGACAUCACUCACAGAAGAAGCACCGGCUAACUCCGUGCCAGCAGCCGCGGUAAUACGGAGGGUGCGAGCGUUAAUCGGAAUUACUGGGCGUAAAGCGCGCGUAGGUGGCUUGAUAAGCCGGUUGUGAAAGCCCCGGGCUCAACCUGGGAACGGCAUCCGGAACUGUCAAGCUAGAGUGCAGGAGAGGAAGGUAGAAUUCCCGGUGUAGCGGUGAAAUGCGUAGAGAUCGGGAGGAAUACCAGUGGCGAAGGCGGCCUUCUGGACUGACACUGACACUGAGGUGCGAAAGCGUGGGUAGCAAACA